rnacentral:rRNA from 1 species
UUGACCUCGGAUCAGGCAGGGAUACCCGCUGAACUUAAGCA